CCUACGGGAGGCAGCAGUGGGGAAUAUUGGACAAUGGGCGAAAGCCUGAUCCAGCAAUGCCGCGUGAGUGAAGAAGGCCUUAGGGUUGUAAAGCUCUUUCGCCUGCGACGAUGAUGACGGUAGCAGGAGAAGAAGCCCCGGCUAAUUCCGUGCCAGCAGCCGCGGUAAUACGGAAGGGGCUAGCGUUGUUCGGAAUUACUGGGCGUAAAGCGCGCGUAGGCGGCUGGACAAGUGAGGCGUGAAAGUCCUGGGCUCAACCCGGGGACGGCGCUUCAGACUGUUCGGCUAGAGUCCGGAAGAGGGUGGUGGAAUUCCGAGUGUAGAGGUGAAAUUCGUAGAUAUUCGGAGGAACACCGGUGGCGAAGGCGGCCACCUGGUCCGGUACUGACGCUCAAGUGCGAAAGCGUGGGGAGCAAACAGGAUUAGAUACCCUGGUAGUCCACGCUGUAAACGAUGGGUGCUAGAUGUCGGGGGGCUUGCUCUUCGGUGUCGUAGCUAACGCGUUAAGCACCCCGCCUGGGGAGUACGGCCGCAAGGUUAAAACUCAAAGGAAUUGACGG
rnacentral:rRNA from 1 species